rnacentral:rRNA from 1 species
UGGGGAAUAUUGCACAAUGGGCGCAAGCCUGAUGCAGCCAUGCCGCGUGUGUGAAGAAGGCCUUCGGGUUGUAAAGCACUUUCAGCGAGGAGGAAGGUGGUGAGCUUAAUACGCUCAUCAAUUGACGUUACUCGCAGAAGAAGCACCGGCUAACUCCGUGCCAGCAGCCGCGGUAAUACGGAGGGUGCAAAGCGUUAAUCGGAAUUACUGGGCGUAAAAGCGCACGCAGGCGGUUUGUUAAGUCAGAUGUGAAAAUCCCCGGGCUCAACCUGGGAACUGCAUUUGAAAACUGGCAAGCUAGAGUCUCGUAGAGGGGGGUAGAAAUUCCAGGUGUAGCGGUGAAAAUGCGUAGAGAUCUGGAGGAAUACCGGUGGCGAAAGGCGGCCCCCUGGACGAAGACUGACGCUCAGGUGCGAAAAGCGUGGGGAGCAAAACAGGAUUAGAUACCCUGGUAGUCCACGCCCUAAAACGAUGUCAACUAGUUGUUGGGGAUUCAUUUCCUUAGUAACGUAGCUAAACGCGUGAAGUUGACCGCCUGGGGAGUACGGUCGCAAAGAUUAAAAACUUAAAGGAAUUGAACGGGGUCAUAGCUGUUUCCU